AUUGAACGCUGGCGGCAGGCCUAACACAUGCAAGUCGAGCGGAUGAAGGGAGCUUGCUCCUGGCUUCAGCGGAGGACGGGUGAGUAAUGCCUAGGAAUCUGCCUGGUAGUGGGGGAUAACGUCCGGAAACGGGCGCUAAUACCGCAUACGUCCUGAGGGAGAAAGUGGGGGAUCUUCGGACCUCACGCUAUCAGCUGAGCCUAGGUCGGAUUAGCUAGUUGGUGGGGUAAAGGCCUACCAAGGCGACGAUCCGUAACUGGUCUGAGAGGAUGAUCAGUCACACUGGAACUGAGACACGGUCCAGACUCCUACGGGAGGCAGCAGUGGGGAAUUUUGGACAAUGGGCGAAAGCCUGAUCCAGCCAUGCCGCGUGUGUGAAGAAGGUCUUCGGAUUGUAAAGCACUUUAAGUUGGGAGGAAGGGCAGUAAGUUAAUACCUUGCUGUUUUGACGUUACCAACAGAAUAAGCACCGGCUAACUUCGUG
rnacentral:rRNA from 1 species